CAUCUCUGGACCUGGUUUGUGACGGUGUUGAUCCAUGUGGAAGGGACACAGACACCCCAAGAGGCCCCUGUUUCACCUUUAAAUGAUCUGGACCUGUGCCUGAACCAGAACCACAUGGACCCAAGACCAGAGUCAUCAGAGGCAGUGCAGCUCAGGAUUCUUUCAGGAGCCUUCAAUCCUUCAUCUUCAUCUAAUAAAAUCAACUUCUGAUUGGAGAGAGUCCUCAACACCCAGAAGACUUCAUCUCUACACUGCGGCUGCAACAGCAGCAAUCAGUCCUGACGCAGGCACAUGUUCUUAACCCGAACCUUCACAAACACUUGAUGCUCAGCCGUCCUGGUAGGGGAUCCCUCUAAGACUUGGCCUACCUAAAGGUUUCUCCCUUUGUCCUUAAUAAGGUUUUUCUCUGAGUUUUUCCUGAUAUACUUAGAGGGUCGAAGGCUGAGUGGAUAUGAAACGUUUCUAUA